GUGUCUGUGGCGGUGGGAUCCCGCGGCCGUGUUUUCCUGGUGGCCCGGCCAUGCCUGAGGUUUCUCCCUCAGCCGCCCCUCUGCGGGCUCCCAGAAAUACUAGGCUUUAGAAUUUCACCAUAUGAAUUUUGGGAGAGAGGAGCACAGUUCAGCCCAUAACUAACACACGUGAUGAAGAAGACAUGCCAACAGAGGGUUAAUUCCAGAUAAAAUGAAAUGUUCCAAACAGUACGUUUGGUUAUUUGAUUCAUCUGUGGGGGAAGGAAAGAUAAUUUUCCAAAGGACAUUCCUCCUAAAUUCUGUCUUAAAGUUGUUUACGGAAUGAAGUUGAUAAUAGUGAGACCUUGUUGGUACAAGACUAUGUAACAUAACCUGCGCUUCUCAACAAAGAAUUGCUUUUCUGACUUCUGCACUCAACUACUCAACAUGAAGGCAAUAAGAAUGAAGACCUCUAUGUAUAAUAAUUGACUUCCACUUAAUAAAUAAGGUUACUUGGUACACUGGUCGACAAAACCUUGAAAUGUUGAUGUUUAAGGGCUGUUGAUUGCUGGCAGCAAAGAAGUCCAACUGUGCUGGUACCCGAGAUAGCGUCUCCACAUUUUCUUCCAGGAUCAUCACCUUUGUUCUAAAUAGCUCCCACAUAGUGUGAACAGAAGUCAUAUGUUUUAGAUUUUCUGCCUUGGCACCCAGG
rnacentral:lncRNA from 10 species